GACGAACGCUGGCGGCGUGCUUAACACAUGCCAGUCGAACGGAAAGGCCCUGCUUUUGUGGGGUGCUCGAGUGGCGAACGGGUGAGUAACACGUGAGUAACCUGCCCUUGACUUUGGGAUAACUUCAGGAAACUGGGGCUAAUACCGGAUAGGAGCUCCUGCUGCAUGGUGGGGGUUGGAAAGUUUCGGCGGUUGGGGAUGGGCUCGCGGCUUAUCAGCUUGUUGGUGGGGUAGUGGCUUACCAAGGCUUUGACGGGUAGCCGGCCUGAGAGGGUGACCGGCCACAUUGGGACUGAGAUACGGCCCAGACUCCUACGGGAGGCAGCAGUGGGGAAUAUUGCACAAUGGGCGGAAGCCUGAUGCAGCAACGCCGCGUGCGGGAUGACGGCCUUCGGGUUGUAAACCGCCUUCGCCUGUGACGAAGCGUGAGUGACGGUAAUGGGUAAAGAAGCACCGGCUAACUACGUG
rnacentral:rRNA from 1 species